UGGGGAAUUUUGGACAAUGGGCGAAAGCCUGAUCCAGCAAUGCCACGUGUGUGAAGAAGGCCUUCGGGUUGUAAAGCACUUUUGUCCGGAAAGAAAUCCUUGGCUCUAAUACAGUCGGGGGAUGACGGUACCGGAAGAAUAAGCACCGGCUAACUACGUGCCAGCAGCCGCGGUAAUACGUAGGGUGCAAGCGUUAAUCGGAAUUACUGGGCGUAAAGCGUGCGCAGGCGGUUUGCUAAGACCGAUGUGAAAUCCCCGGGCUCAACCUGGGAACUGCAUUGGUGACUGGCAGGCUAGAGUAUGGCAGAGGGGGGUAGAAUUCCACGUGUAGCAGUGAAAUGCGUAGAGAUGUGGAGGAAUACCGAUGGCGAAGGCAGCCCCCUGGGCCAAUACUGACGCUCAUGCACGAAAGCGUGGGGAGCAAACAGGAUUAGAUACCCUGGUAGUCCACGCCCUAAACGAUGUCAACUAGUUGUUGGGGAUUCAUUUCCUUAGUAACGUAGCUAACGCGUGAAGUUGACCGCCUGGGGAGUACGGUCGCAAGAUUAAAACUCAAAUGAAUUGACGGGGUCAUAGCUGUUUCCU
rnacentral:rRNA from 1 species